rnacentral:misc_RNA from 1 species
UACGUAGGGCGCAAGCGUUGUCCGGAUUUAUUGGGCGUAAAGAGCUCGUAGGCGGCCCGUCGCGUCGGUCGUGAAAUCCUGGAGCUUAACUCCAGGCCUGCGGCCGAUACGGGCGGGCUCGAGGGCGGUAGAGGCGAGUGGAAUUCCUGGUGUAGCGGUGAAAUGCGCAGAUAUCAGGAGGAACACCAUUGGCGAAGGCGGCUCGCUGGGCCGUACCUGACGCUGAGGAGCGAAAGCAUGGGGAGCGAACAGG